rnacentral:rRNA from 1 species
UACGUAGGGACCGAGCGUUGUCCGGAAUUAUUGGGCGUAAAGAGCUCGUAGGCGGCCUGUUGCGUCUGCUGUGAAAUCCCGGGGCUCAACCCCGGGCCUGCAGUGGAUACGGGCUGGCUAGAGGCAGGCAGGGGAGAACGGAAUUCCUGGUGUAGCGGUGAAAUGCGCAGAUAUCAGGAGGAACACCGGUGGCGAAGGCGGUUCUCUGGGCCUGUACUGACGCUGAGGAGCGAAAGCGUGGGGAGCGAACAGG